GGGCAGGUUGAAGGUUGGGUAACACUAACUGGAGGACCGAACCGACUAAUGUUGAAAAAUUAGCGGAUGACUUGUGGCUGGGGGUGAAAGGCCAAUCAAACCGGGAGAUAGCUGGUUCUCCCCGAAAGCUAUUUAGGUAGCGCCUCGUGAAUUCAUCUCCGGGGGUAGAGCACUGUUUCGGCAAGGGGGUCAUCCCGACUUACCAACCCGAUGCAAACUGCGAAUACCGGAGAAUGUUAUCACGGGAGACACACGGCGGGUGCUAACGUCCGUCGUGAAGAGGGAAACAACCCAGACCGCCAGCUAAGGUCCCAAAGUCAUGGUUAAGUGGGAAACGAUGUGGGAAGGCCCAGACAGCCAGGAUGUUGGCUUAGAAGCAGCCAUCAUUUAAAGAAAGCGUAAUAGCUCACUGGUCGAGUCGGCCUGCGCGGAAGAUGUAACGGGGCUAAACCAUGCACCGAAGCUGCGGCAGCGACGCUUAUGCGUUGUUGGGUA
rnacentral:rRNA from 1 species